ensembl:misc_RNA Metazoa_SRP Metazoan signal recognition particle RNA
GCCGGGCGCAGUGGCGCGCGCCUGUAAUCCACGUUACCGGGAGGCUGAGGCUGGAGGAGCGCUUGAGUUCGGGGGUUCUGGACUACAGCGCGCUAUGCUGAGCGGGUGUCCGUACUAAGAUCGGUGUCGAUAUGGUGCUCCUGAGGGAGCUUUGGGCCACCAGGUCGUCUAAGGAGGGGUGAACCGGCCCAGGUCGGAAACGGAGCAGGUCAAAACCCCCGUGCCGAUCAGUCGUGGGAGCGCACCUGUGAAUAGACGCUGUAGUGCAGCCUGAGCGAGAUAGUGGGACCCAGCCUUUU